rnacentral:rRNA from 1 species
ACGCUGGCGGCAGGCUUAACACAUGCAAGUCGAGCGGCAACAGGAGAAGCUUGCUUCUCGCUGACGAGCGGCGGACGGGUGAGUAAUACUUAGGAAUCUGCCCAGUAGUGGGGGAUAGCUCGGGGAAACUCGAAUUAAUACCGCAUACACCCUACGGGGAAAAGGGGGCGCUUGCGCUCUCGCUAUUGGAUGAGCCUAAGUCGGAUUAGCUAGUUGGUGGGGUAAAGGCCUACCAAGGCGACGAUCCAUAGCUGGUCUGAGAGGAUGAUCAGCCACACCGGGACUGAGACACGGCCCGGACUCCUACGGGAGGCAGCAGUGGGGAAUAUUGGACAAUGGGGGCAACCCUGAUCCAGCCAUGCCGCGUGUGUGAAGAAGGCCUUUUGGUUGUAAAGCACUUUAAGCAGUGAAGAAGACCUAACGGUUAAUACCCGUUAGCGAUGACAUUAGCUGCAGAAUAAGCACCGGCUAACUCUGUGCCAGCAGCCGCGGUAAUACAGAGGGUGCAAGCGUUAAUCGGAAUUACUGGGCGUAAAGCGAGCGUAGGUGGCUUGAUAAGUCAGAUGUGAAAUCCCCGGGCUUAACCUGGGAACUGCAUCUGAUACUGUUGGGCUAGAGUAGGUGAGAGGGAGGUAGAAUUUCAGGUGUAGCGGUGAAAUGCGUAGAGAUCUGAAGGAAUACCGAUGGCGAAGGCAGCCUCCUGGCAUCAUACUGACACUGAGGUUCGAAAGCGUGGGUAGCAAACAGGAUUAGAUACCCUGGUAGUCC